CUAGCAUCGGGGAGAGCGGCCGCCUCUCCCUAGCUCCAGCUCUGGUAGACCGCGGUACAGCGUUGCAUUCUCCCGGCUGCGACGGGCUAGAGUGAGGUGUCAGUUGCUUGAACAGAGCACCCACAACAAGGGUAGUGCACCACAGUGGAUAUGCUGGCUCUUGAGCCUCAGAUUGUGCCCCAAAAUCUGCUCGUUAGGUGGGAGCUCGCUCUGCAGGCGUUCGCUCUGCUCGGAGGUCAG